AUGCAUGCUGGACUCUUCAGAAUAGUCGUGGGUUUCCAAGGGAGAUUCAAGGAGGCCUUCAGGAGCCAUGGUGUAUUUAUUCUCAUCUCCCUUCCACGGGUUAAUCUGAUGAUCUGCACAGUGUUUCCUAAAGCAAGCAGAUUCUCAGUGAAGAUAUUCCUGGAAGAAAGCAGGUUGGGAAAAAGGCAAAUAAUGAAGAAAACCAUGAGCAAAUGAAUGGACAUGCAAGAAAUGGACAUGACUGAGAUGGAAGUGAACCUGAAAGGAACGUUCAGCCAGAACAGGAAAGAAAAAUGAUCACAUUUCAGUCCCAUUGGAGCCUUGAAAAUUUACCUCCCAAAAAUUGCUCUUAGAGAGAGCAAGUGAGCAAAUAAACUUCACUGUUGGCAACA
rnacentral:lncRNA from 1 species